rnacentral:rRNA from 1 species
GAGUUUGAUCCUGGCUCAGGACGAACGCUGGCGGCGUGCCUGAUACAUGCAAGUCGAACGCACGAAGUUGAAGAGCUUGCUCUUUAACCAAGUGAGUGGCGGACGGGUGAGUAACACGUGGGUAACCUGCCCAUUAGAGGGGGAUAACAUUCGGAAACGGAUGCUAAUACCGCAUAGUUUCAGGAAUCGCAUGAUUCUUGAAGGAAAGGUGGCUUCGGCUACCACUAAUGGAUGGACCCGCGGCGUAUUAGCUAGUUGGUGAGGUAAUGGCUCACCAAGGCAAUGAUACGUAGCCGACCUGAGAGGGUGAUCGGCCACACUGGGACUGAGACACGGCCCAGACUCCUACGGGAGGCAGCAGUAGGGAAUCUUCCGCAAUGGACGAAAGUCUGACGGAGCAACGCCGCGUGAGUGAAGAAGGUUUUCGGAUCGUAAAACUCUGUUGUUAAAGAAGAACAAGGAUGAGAGUAACUGCUCAUCCUCUGACGGUAUUUAACCAGAAAGCCACGGCUAACUACGUGCCAGCAGCCGCGGUAAUACGUAGGUGGCAAGCGUUGUCCGGAUUUAUUGGGCGUAAAGCGAGCGCAGGCGGUUCUUUAAGUCUGAUGUGAAAGCCCCCGGCUCAACCGGGGAGGGUCAUUGGAAACUGGAGAACUUGAGUGCAGAAGAGGAGAGUGGAAUUCCACGUGUAGCGGUGAAAUGCGUAGAUAUGUGGAGGAACACCAGUGGCGAAGGCGACUCUCUGGUCUGUAACUGACGCUGAGGCUCGAAAGCGUGGGUAGCAAACAGGAUUAGAUAC